rnacentral:rRNA from 1 species
AACGAACGCUGGCGGCAGGCUUAACACAUGCAAGUCGAACGCACCUUUCGGGGUGAGUGGCAGACGGGUGAGUAACGCGUGGGAAUCUACCCUUCUCUACGGGAUAGCUCCGGGAAACUGGAAUUAAUACCGUAUACGUCCUGAGGGAGAAAGAUUUAUCGGGGAAGGAUGAGCCCGCGUUGGAUUAGCUAGUUGGUGGGGUAAAGGCCUACCAAGGCGACGAUCCAUAGCUGGUCUAAGAGGAUGAUCAGCCACAUUGGGACUGAGACACGGCCCAAACUCCUACGGGAGGCAGCAGUGGGGAAUAUCGGACAAUGGGCGCAAGCCUGAUCCAGCCAUGCCGCGUGAGUGAUGAAGGCCCUAGGGUUGUAAAGCUCUUUCAGUGGGGACGAUAAUGACGGUACCCACAGAAGAAGCCCCGGCUAACUUCGUGCCAGCAGCCGCAGUAA